AGCGAACGCUGGCGGCAGGCCUAACACAUGCAAGUCGAACGAACCCUUCGGGGUUAGUGGCGGACGGGUGAGUAACACGUGGGAACGUGCCUUUAGGUUCGGAAUAACUCAGGGAAACUUGUGCUAAUACCGAAUGUGCCCUUCGGGGGAAAGAUUUAUCGCCUUUAGAGCGGCCCGCGUCUGAUUAGCUAGUUGGUGAGGUAAUGGCUCACCAAGGCUACGAUCAGUAGCUGGUCUGAGUGGAUGACCAGCCACAUUGGGACUGAGACAAGGCCCAAACUCCUACGGGAGGCAGCAGUGGGGAAUCUUGCGCAAUGGGCGAAAGCCUGACGCAGCCAUGCCGCGUGGAUGAUGAAGGUCUUAGGAUUGUAAAAUCCUUUCACCGGUGAAGAUAAUGACUGUAGCCGGAGAAGAAGCCCCGGCUAACUUCGUGCCAGCCGCCGCCGUAAGAC
rnacentral:rRNA from 1 species